rnacentral:tRNA from 1 species
GGAGGUGUGGCUCAGGUGGGAGAGUAUUUGCCUUGCAAAUGCAAGAGCCUGAGUUCAAAUCCCAGUACUGCCC